AUCCUGGCUCAGGACGAACGCUGGCGGCGCGCUUAACACAUGCAAGUCGAGCGAGAACCGGGGCUUCGGCCCCGGGGACAGCGGCGAACGGGUGAGUAACACGUGGGUAACCUGCCCUCGGCACCGGGAUAGCCCGGGGAAACUCGGAUUAAUACCGGAUGGCCCCUCCGACCCUCGGGUCGGCUGGGAAAGGUAGCUUCGGCUUCCGGCCGAUGAUGGGCCCGCGGCGGAUUAGCUUGUUGGUGGAGUAACGGCCCACCAAGGCUCCGAUCCGUAGCUGGUCUGAGAGGACGAUCAGCCACACUGGGACUGAGACACGGCCCAGACUCCUACGGGAGGCAGCAGUGGGGAAUCUUGCGCAAUGGGCGAAAGCCUGACGCAGCGACGCCGCGUGAGGGAAGAAGGCCUUCGGGUUGUAAACCUCUUUCAGGAGGGACGAAGCUACUCGGGUUAACAGCCCAGAGGGUGACGGUACCUCCAGAAGAAGCCCCGGCUAACUACGUGCCAGCAGCCGCGGUAAUACGUAGGGGGGCAAGCGUUGUCCGGAUUUACUGGGCGUAAAGCGCGUGUAGGCGGCCAGGCAGGUCUGUUGUGAAAACUGGAGGCUCAACCUCCAGACGUCGACAGAAACCGCUUGGCUAGAGUCCGGAAGAGGAGAGUGUAAUUCCUGGUGUAGCGGUGAAAUGCCGCAGAUAUCAAGACGAUCACCAAUGCCGAUGCAGCUCUCUGGGAACGGUACUGACGCUGAAACGCGAAGCGUGGGGAGCGAACAUGAUUAAAUACCCUGCUAGUCCACGCCGUAAACGAUGGGUGCUAGGGUGUGUAAGUGUCCGACUCCUUGCCGUGCCCGCAGCUAUCGCAUAAACCACCCUGCCUUGGGGGAGUACGGACCUAAGCAUAAACCUCAAUGGAUUUGGCGGGGGCUCGCACACUCCAUAGUAGCCAUGUUGAUUAUGUCCAUGCCCACGCAAAACUCCUUUACUGGGCGUGAACUGGCCGGGAGGGGCGUCACAAUACGGUCCCUCCCUUCGGACUAGGCCAGUGGCCAUGCUUGCUUCAGUCCUGUCCUGGCAUUGUGGGUAUAAACCGAAAAAGUCAUCCCUGUCAAUGGUCCCCCAGAAUGUACUGGCGUAUC
rnacentral:rRNA from 1 species